GACUUAUAAUUGAAGUCUAGAAUGAAUGAAUAUACGGGCAGCGACUGUCUCAGGAGUAUUUUACUAACUUAGUUACCAAGUGCAAAUACUUGAAGUUAUAAAAAAGACGAGAAGACCCUAGAAACUUUAUUUUAUUUUGUUGGGGCGACAGAAUUACAAUAUAACUAAUUUUAUAUUACAAGAAAUAUAAGGGAAAGAACAAGUUACUCUAGGGAUAACAGCAUAAUUUAAUCUAAGUUUGUGACCUCGAUGUUGGACUAGGUAUAAUAUUUUUUAAAAGAAUCUAUUUAUACUGGGU
rnacentral:rRNA from 1 species